rnacentral:rRNA from 1 species
GAGUGGCGAACGGGUGAGUAACACGUGGGUAACCUGCCCAUCAGAAGGGGAUAACACUUGGAAACAGGUGCUAAUACCGUAUAACAAUCAAAACCGCAUGGUUUUGAUUUGAAAGGCGCUUUCGGGUGUCGCUGAUGGAUGGACCCGCGGUGCAUUAGCUAGUUGGUGAGGUAACGGCUCACCAAGGCCACGAUGCAUAGCCGACCUGAGAGGGUGAUCGGCCACAUUGGGACUGAGACACGGCCCAAACUCCUACGGGAGGCAGCAGUAGGGAAUCUUCGGCAAUGGACGAAAGUCUGACCGAGCAACGCCGCGUGAGUGAAGAAGGUUUUCGGAUCGUAAAACUCUGUUGUUAGAGAAGAACAAGGAUGAGAGUAACUGUUCAUCCCUUGACGGUAUCUAACCAGAAAGCCACGGCUAACUACGUGCCAGCAGCCGCGGUAAU